AUUGAACGCUGGCGGCAUGCCUUACACAUGCAAGUCGAACGGUAACAGGUCUUCGGAUGCUGACGAGUGGCGAACGGGUGAGUAAUACAUCGGAACGUGCCCGAUCGUGGGGGAUAACGAAGCGAAAGCUUUGCUAAUACCGCAUACGAUCUAAGGAUGAAAGCAGGGGACCGCAAGGCCUUGCGCGAACGGAGCGGCCGAUGGCAGAUUGGGUAGUUGGUGGGAUAAAAGCUUACCAAGCCGACGAUCUGUAGCUGGUCUGAGAGGACGACCAGCCACACUGGGACUGAGACACGGCCCAGACUCCUACGGGAGGCAGCAGUGGGGAAUUUUGGACAAUGGGCGAAAGCCUGAUCCAGCCAUGCCGCGUGCGGGAUGAAGGCCUUCGGGUUGUAAACUGCUUUUGUACGGAACGAAAAGACUCUGGUUAAUACCUGGGGUCCAUGACGGUACCGUAAGAAUAAGCACCGGCUAACUACGUGCCAGCAGCCGCAGUAA
rnacentral:rRNA from 1 species